UACGUAGGUGGCGAGCGUUGUCCGGAUUCAUUGGGCGUAAAGAGCGCGUAGGCGGCCCGGAAAGUGGGGUGUGAAAACCCGAGGCUCAACCUCGGGCGUGCACUCCAAACUCCCGGGCUCGAGGCAGGUAGGGGAGAUCGGAAUUCCUGGUGUAGCGGUGAAAUGCGUAGAGUAUCAGGAGGAACACCUGUGGUGUAGACGGCUUACUGGACCAUGACUGACGCUGAGGCACGAAAGCGUGGGGAGCAAACAGG
rnacentral:rRNA from 1 species